UGUGUCAGCAACUCUCUCUUUGCUACUCUCACAUGGUCGCCCACUAAAGCUAAGCAGGGCUGUGCUCAGUAAGUACCUGGAUGGGAGACCACAUGAGAAAACUAGAUUGCUGGCGGAU
rnacentral:rRNA from 1 species